rnacentral:rRNA from 1 species
AAUGAACGCUGGCGGCAUGCCUAACACAUGCAAGCCGAACGAAGCCUUCGGGCUUAGUGGCGCACGGGUGCGUAACGCGUGGGAAUCUGCCCUUGGGUUCGGAAUAACAGUUAGAAAUGACUGCUAAUACCGGAUGAUGACGUAAGUCCAAAGAUUUAUCGCCCAAGGAUGAGCCCGCGUAGGAUUAGCUAGUUGGUGAGGUAAAAGCUCACCAAGGCGACGAUCCUUAGCUGGUCUGAGAGGAUGAUCAGCCACACUGGGACUGAGACACGGCCCAGACUCCUACGGGAGGCAGCAGUGGGGAAUAUUGGACAAUGGGCGAAAGCCUGAUCCAGCAAUGCCGCGUGAGUGAUGAAGGCCUUAGGGUUGUAAAGCUCUUUUACCCGGGAUGAUAAUGACAGUACCGGGAGAAUAAGCUCCGGCUAACUCCGUGCCAGCCGCCGCGGUAA